ensembl:snoRNA
UGGCAAGCCUCCAGCGUGCUAGCGUCUGUGGUGACCUGGGCAUUCCUUGGCCAGAACAGUGUUGAAAUAGUUUGAGGGCUCGUCCUGCUCCAUCCAGAACAAGGUUAUAGAAAUUUCAGACAAUU